rnacentral:rRNA from 1 species
AUUGAACGCUGGCGGCAGGCCUAACACAUGCAAGUCGAGCGGAUGAGGGGAGCUUGCUCCUCGAUUCAGCGGCGGACGGGUGAGUAAUGCCUAGGAAUCUGCCUAGUAGUGGGGGACAACGUUUCGAAAGGAACGCUAAUACCGCAUACGUCCUACGGGAGAAAGUGGGGGAUCUUCGGACCUCACGCUAUUAGAUGAGCCUAGGUCGGAUUAGCUAGUUGGUAGGGUAAAGGCCUACCAAGGCGACGAUCCGUAACUGGUCUGAGAGGAUGAUCAGUCACACUGGAACUGAGACACGGUCCAGACUCCUACGGGAGGCAGCAGUGGGGAAUAUUGGACAAUGGGCGAAAGCCUGAUCCAGCCAUGCCGCGUGUGUGAAGAAGGCCUUCGGGUCGUAAAGCACUUUAAGUUGGGAGGAAGGGCUCAUAGCGAAUACCUGUGAGUUUUGACGUUACCAACAGAAUAAGCACCGGCUAACUUCGUGCCAGCCGCCGCCGUAAUAC